GAUGAACGCUGGCGGCGUGCCUAAUACAUGCAAGUCGAGCGAACAGACGAGGAGCUUGCUCCUCUGACGUUAGCGGCGGACGGGUGAGUAACACGUGGAUAACCUACCUAUAAGACUGGGAUAACUUCGGGAAACCGGAGCUAAUACCGGAUAAUAUAUUGAACCGCAUGGUUCAAUAGUGAAAGACGGUUUUGCUGUCACUUAUAGAUGGAUCCGCGCCGCAUUAGCUAGUGGUUAGGUAACGGCUUACCAAGGCAACGAUGCGUAGCCGACCUGAGAGGGUGAUCGGCCACACUGGAACUGAGACACGGUCCAGACUCCUACGGGAGGCAGCAGUAGGGAAUCUUCCGCAAUGGGCGAAAGCCUGACGGAGCAACGCCGCGUGAGUGAUGAAGGUCUUCGGAUCGUAAAACUCUGUUAUUAGGGAAGAACAAAUGUGUAAGUAACUAUGCACGUCUUGACGGUACCUAAUCAGAAAGCCACGGCUAACUACGUG
rnacentral:rRNA from 1 species